GACGAACGCUGGCGGCGUGCUUAACACAUGCAAGUCGAACGGAAAGGCCCUUCGGGGUGCUCGAGUGGCGAACGGGUGAGUAACACGUGGGUGAUCUGCCCUGCACUUUGGGAUAAGCCUGGGAAACUGGGUCUAAUACCGAAUAGGACCGCGCUCUUCAUGGGGUGUGGUGGAAAGCUUUUGCGGUGUGGGAUGGGCCCGCGGCCUAUCAGCUUGUUGGUGGGGUAAUGGCCUACCAAGGCGACGACGGGUAGCCGGCUUGAGAGGGUGACCGGCCACACUGGGACUGAGAUACGGCCCAGACUCCUACGGGAGGCAGCAGUGGGGAAUAUUGCACAAUGGGCGCAAGCCUGAUGCGGCGACGCCGCGUGAGGGAUGACGGCCUUCGGGUUGUAAACCUCUUUCAGUACCGACGAAGCGCAAGUGACGGUAGGUACAGAAGAAGGACCGGCCAACUACGUGCCAGCAGCCGCCGUAACAC
rnacentral:rRNA from 1 species